rnacentral:rRNA from 1 species
GACGAACGCUGGCGGCGUGCUUAACACAUGCAAGUCGAACGGAAAGGCCCUGCUUUUGUGGGGUGCUCGAGUGGCGAACGGGUGAGUAACACGUGAGUAACCUGCCCUUGACUUUGGGAUAACUUCAGGAAACCGGGGCUAAUACCGGAUAGAAGCUCCUGCUGCAUGGUGGGGGUUGGAAAGUUUCGGCGGUUGGGGAUGGACUCGCGGCUUAUCAGCUUGUUGGUGGGGUAGUGGCUUACCAAGGCUUUGACGGGUAGCCGGCCUGAGAGGGUGACCGGCCACAUUGGGACUGAGAUACGGCCCAGACUCCUACGUGAGGCAGCAGUGGGGAAUAUUGCACAAUGGGCUGAAGCCUGAUGCAGCAACGCCGCGUGCGGGAUGACGGCCUUCGGGUUGUAAACCGCUUUCGCCUGUGACGAAGCGUGAGUGACGGUAAUGGGUAAAGAAGCACCGGCUAACUACGUG